AUUGAACGCUGGCGGCAUGCUUUACACAUGCAAGUCGAACGGCAGCGCGGGCUUCGGCCUGGCGGCGAGUGGCGAACGGGUGAGUAAUGCAUCGGAACGUGCCCAGUAGUGGGGGAUAGCCCGGCGAAAGCCGGAUUAAUACCGCAUACGACCUGAGGGUGAACGCGGGGGACCGAAAGGCCUCGCGCUAUUGGAGCGGCCGAUGACGGAUUAGCUAGUUGGUGGGGUAAAGGCUUACCAAGGCGACGAUCCGUAGCUGGUCUGAGAGGACGACCAGCCACACUGGGACUGAGACACGGCCCAGACUCCUACGGGAGGCAGCAGUGGGGAAUUUUGGACAAUGGGGGCAACCCUGAUCCAGCCAUGCCGCGUGCGGGAAGAAGGCCUUCGGGUUGUAAACCGCUUUUGUUCGGGAAGAAAUCCUGUGGGCUAAUACCCCGGGGGGAUGACGGUACCGGAAGAAUAAGCACCGGCUAACUACGUG
rnacentral:rRNA from 1 species